UCAAAGCAGGAGGUUGGUUGCUGUUCUUGAAAUAAGAUUUUACUAGGAAGUAGUGUUUUAAAUCUUCUGAAAUGGAAGGAUAAAAUGGCACCUGAGUCCUCUCAGCAGUUUGAGGGACAGUUCCCAAAUCCUUCUCAGUGCCCUCUCCCAGUAAAUAUUUGAGAGCUGUGACAGGUCAGGGGUGCUUGAGCAAGCAGAGCCUCCCAAAGGUGUGCAGGGCAUGCUCUGAAAUGUCAGAUCUGUUUGGUGCAGCUUUUUAUUGUGCUGACAGGUGCAGUUAAAAGUGAUUCACAUCCUGAUCAUCAGCUAUGUUUUUCUUUCCUCAGGUUUCAACUGCCCACAAUUAAAGGCAAUAAAUUAGAGAGAAAAUGAGGAAGAGCUGCAGCAGAACGCUGGAGGUAAAGGUGAGGUACUGGGUGUGGGCUGGUGGCUGCUGGAGCUGUCAGGGACUUCCCAGCCAGGGCUCUGGCUUUUAUUUUACAGCUGAGGCAGAGAAACUUCAAUUCUGCAGAAAGGUCAGUCAAAACAAAGACAGUUUUUUCCUUUUCAGUGCAAAACAAGAUUCUGCAUUCUGGCAGGUAAAGACAAGGCAGAAUGUAUAUUGUUGUAAUUAUAUAAAGUAAAUAGUGUCUGACUUCUAAUUUGUUCCUAGAAAAAAUGUAGAAGUCUUGGUGAACCUAGUUGAAAUUGAGGUGGGAAAUGAGCUAAAGUAAUAUGUUUCUAACCAGGAUUUACAGAGCUAAGUAAAUGAGAAAAUGUUUUUCUGUAAACUUCAGCAGAAACCACAUUAGGUAAAUCAGUUCCAGUUCCACAGCAAAGAAGGGACAGCUGAGCCCACAGUAACAGGUACUUCAUAGUAAAAAAUACUACAUUUGAUUUUUAAAUGCAUAUGGUUUGAAAACAAAAACAGCCUAUAAAUAAAUGGCCAUAUGCUUUAUCUACUAGUCUAAUUCAGCUUUUUGACAGCCAUUCAUUGCUUUGUGUUUUCUGUCAGUACAAAGUGUAAUUACAAAGCCUCUGCUCUGCAGCAUUUACAGGGUCUGGUGACCUUCAGAUUCUUUGAGGAGCUGUCCUUGUCCCCAGGAGGGAAAGCUGGCUGGCCUGAGCAGCAACCUGAGCUUUUUGUGAGCAGGCUGCAGUUUUCCUGCAGUCCCAGGAUGGUGUUUCCACUGGGAGGGAGCAGCUGGAUUUGAAAAGAGCAUUUGCCUGACGGUGGCCUUUGCCAUGCAAUUGUCUCACCACACCCAGCAGCUCCUGCUCUGAGCCCUGUCCCACCUCAAGGAGUUCCCUAUGCUGUGCCAUGGAGUGGAGGAAACACAGCUUGGUCUGAGCUGUGGGAACGCCCUGGCCCUGGUGGAGCACAAGGAGCACCUGCACCCAGACCCCUGCACAGAUUGCCUCAGGACUGGCUGGAGAACAGGAGCUAGUCAAGACCAGCUGAAGUCCACAGGGAUAGCAUCCCACUCUUCCGAGGGAAAACAGCGAUGUCAGUUCGUGCAGCCUCAUUUGCAAGUCGCUGUUGCUCCCCUCUCUCCUGGUUAUGUCCUGCUGGAACUGGCACAGCUGGGACUGCAGAACAAGGCAGGAGCUCUCAGGUGUGGGGGGCUCUGGGCAGGGCCCCUCAGCACCCACCCAGGGCUCCAGGAGUGGCAUUUCAUUAACACCAUCAACAGUGAGGCCCAGGGAUUUUCAGGUGAGGGAGUUGAGCCACACAGUAAAUUCAGGAAGUGCUAAUUGGACUGAAUUCUACUCAGUAGUAAUUUAAUUAUAUUAGAAUUCUCAAGCUAAACCAACACUGAACCAGUUGAAUUGGCUUCCAGAGUUGGAAACUUUUACCACCAAUUUCCAUGAGAGACAUGAGAGACAUAAUUACAGCUGUGACUGGGAUUUAUUUUUGUUUCCUAUCAAGGAUAUUUUGACUAAUUUCUUAGGUUAUCAGGACACACAAAAUAUCCCUUUGGGACAGCCCACUAAUCAGGUUGAUCCUGAUUUCUUCAUGUAAAGAACAGUUAGGGUUUUUUUUAAAUCACGGUUUUAUGUUCUACUAUAAAGGUUUUACCAUCACCAGUGUCUAUGAGUAAAGUAACUGCACAGCCAGAAGACACCCAAAAGGUGCCUGUGGAAGAUCUCUGCUGCUGUAGUGCACACAGGCAGCAGAGCCCCUUACCCUGAGGCUGCGGAUCUCCCUGUCCUUGUCCUCCCUCAGGUUGUUGAUCAUCUCCACGUAGCGGCUGGAGAGCUCGUCUGUCGUGGUCUGCAGGGUGGGGCUGGAGCAGCUCUGCAGCAAAGAACCCAAUUUUAUUUUACAAAGAGAGUUUUCAUCGUUAGUUUUCCUGCACUGAUCCCUCUGAGUCUGGGACUCAGCCACUGCACCCAGCCAGGACAAUGCUGUGACAUUCUCAGCGGUGCUGAGCACUUGGGCUGGGAUGGAAACAACAGCAAUUGUCUGCUGCCUGCAUCCACAGGGCUGGGAUGGCUGAAGGCCAGAGAACCUGUGGAGCUGCCAAAGGCACCCCUGUCCAUCCAGCCCAGAGAACCUGUGGAGCUGCCAAAGGCACCCCUGUCCAUCCAGCCCAGAGAACCUGUGGAGCUGCCAAAGGCACCCCUGUCCAUCCAGCCCAGAGAACCUGUGGAGCUGCCAAAGGCACCCCUGUCCAUCCAGCCCUGAGAACCUGUGGAGCUGCCAAAGGCACCCCUGUCCAUCCAGCCCCUGAGGCACUGACAGAGCAGCCACUGCCACCAGCACAGCCACAGCCUGGAAUGCCAGCCCUGGGCUCCUGCUCCAGCUGGGAGCAGCUGGAGGAGGAGCAGGACUCACCCCCAGGUCAUCCUGCAAAUGGCAGAGCUCCUCCCGCAGGUUCUUGAACGUGGAAAGCACAAGUCUCAGGGAUUUGUCCGACGUCACUCUCAUCUGGGAGGGGAGAAAUGAAAAGGAUAAUUGGGUUUAAUUAGGCAGCUUUGUUUACAAUGUGCCUGACAAGAGGUAGAACAGAAACUGCUUUACAGCUGACAGUAACUUCUAAAACCAUUGCACGUCCUUUGAAGUGCCCACAGUUUCUACAGGAAAUAUUUUCCUUCCACUUUGUUCUGCAAAUGCCAAUGUUCAGUUUCUGCCUUGUAACACAGGACAACGUUGUUAAAAUGAAGGAGCAACAGGGUAAGGAACUGCCUUUGUACACCAAUAAAGGGAAAAACAAAUGUGUUAAUAUUGUACAAUUAUUAUCAGAGCUUUAAAAGCUUUGUGCUUACACUGAUUUUUAAAAAUUACUGCCCUGCCUUAAAAGGCACAGAGGAAUGAGUCAUGUUUGAGAUCUGGCAAAGCUCUGGGCUCAAGGAUGAGGGACUUUAAUUAACAUUUUUAAAAAUUUAAAUUAAAAAAGCUCAUACAGCCAACUCCUCCCUUUAAAAGGAAAAAGAUCCCAAAGAUGAAAGGAGUCAUCUGGAUGAAAGAGAAAACCAUAAGUGACCACAGCCCACUGUUCUCCUUUGGAAUGCUAAUCUUAAUGCCUUUAAUAGCUGUGUAUUGAUUCAGGUGAAAAUAUUAAUUGUUGCAUUUCAUGAUACACUUAUAGUAUUUACAAGAAAAAUAACAGACUUUGAAAGGACACACAAAUAACUCCUCAAGUUGUAACACUCCUUGAAAGGGCUGAAUAUUCUGUACAAAAGCUGUGGGUCCUUUUCUGUCCAGACCAAAGUGAAACUUUGAGCUCUCAUGCUCUCUAUCCGUAAGAAAAUUGGCCCUUGCCCAGUUUUUUAUCCCCACUGGUGCCGUGGUGUGACUGAGACUUCACUCCUAGCACAACUCACCUUUUUGUUUGUUUUGUGAUUAAAGUGGAAUUUUACUUUUGUCUUAUGGUAUUAUUGGUUUUAUUGUGUAAUACACUACAGAGUAGUUUGAAAGAAGGAAUUGAGUCAAAGGGUGAAAUUUA